rnacentral:rRNA from 1 species
AGAGUUUGAACCUGGCUCAGGACGAACGCUGGCGGCGUGCUUAACACAUGCAAGUCGAACGAUGAAGCCCUUCGGGGUGGAUUAGUGGCGAACGGGUGAGUAACACGUGGGCAAUCUGCCCUUCACUCUGGGACAAGCCCUGGAAACGGGGUCUAAUACCGGAUAACACUCUGUCCCGCAUGGGACGGGGUUGAAAGCUCCGGCGGUGAAGGAUGAGCCCGCGGCCUAUCAGCUUGUUGGUGGGGUGAUGGCCUACCAAGGCGACGACGGGUAGCCGGCCUGAGAGGGCGACCGGCCACACUGGGACUGAGACACGGCCCAGACUCCUACGGGAGGCAGCAGUGGGGAAUAUUGCACAAUGGGCGAAAGCCUGAUGCAGCGACGCCGCGUGAGGGAUGACGGCCUUCGGGUUGUAAACCUCUUUCAGCAGGGAAGAAGCGAAAGUGACGGUACCUGCAGAAGAAGCGCCGGCUAACUACGUGCCAGCAGCCGCGGUAAUACGUAGGGCGCAAGCGUUGUCCGGAAUUAUUGGGCGUAAAGAGCUCGUAGGCGGCUUGUUGCGUCGGUUGUGAAAGCCCGGGGCUUAACCCCGGGUCUGCAGUCGAUACGGGCAGGCUAGAGUGUGGUAGGGGAGAUCGGAAUUCCUGGUGUAGCGGUGAAAUGCGCAGAUAUCAGGAGGAACACCGGUGGCGAAGGCGGAUCUCUGGGCCAUUACUGACGCUAGACGUAACCGGUCU